CCCUUAGAUGUUCUGGGCCGCACGCGUGCUACACUGAGUGGAUCAGCGGGUCAGGUUGCGCGAAAGUGUUUCCUAAUCUUGAAAUCCGCUCGUGAUGGGGAUUGACGGUUGCAAUUUUCCGUCAUGAACGAGGAAUACCUUGUAAGCGCGGGUCAUCAUCCCGCGCUGAAUACGCUCCUGCCCUUUGUACACACCGCCCGUCGCUCCUACCGAUUGAGUGGUCCGGUGAGGCUUUGGGAUCUGAGCAAAGAGAGCGUUUCGCUCGUUUUGCCCGGAAAACUCAGUCGAACCUUAUCAUUUAGAGGAAGGAGAAGUCGUAACA
rnacentral:rRNA from 1 species